rnacentral:rRNA from 1 species
UGCAAGUCGAGCGGUAGAAGGAAGCUUGCUUCCUUUGAGAGCGGCGGACGGGUGAGUAAUGCCUAGGAAUCUGCCUGGUAGUGGGGGAUAACGUUCGGAAACGRACGCUAAUACCGCAUACGUCCUACGGGAGAAAGCAGGGGACCUUCGGGCCUUGCGCUAUCAGAUGAGCCUAGGUCGGAUUAGCUUGUUGGUGAGGUAAUGGCUCACCAAGGCAACGAUCCGUAACUGGUCUGAGAGGAUGAUCAGUCACACUGGAACUGAGACACGGUCCAGACUCCUACGGGAGGCAGCAGUGGGGAAUAUUGGACAAUGGGGGAAACCCUGAUCCAGCCAUGCCGCGUGUGUGAAGAAGGUCUUAGGAUUGUAAAGCACUUUAAGUUGGGAGGAAGAGUUAUAGCCUAAUACGCUGUAACUUUGACGUUACCGACAGAAUAAGCACCGGCUAACUCUGUGCCAGCAGCCGCGGUAAUACAGAGGGUGCAAGCGUUAAUCGGAAUUACUGGGCGUAAAGCGCGCGUAGGUGGCAAGGUAAGAUGGGUGUGAAAUCCCCGGGCUCAACCUGGGAACUGCAUCCAUAACUGCUUCGCUAGAGUACGGUAGAGGGUAGUGGAAUUUCCUGUGUAGCGGUGAAAUGCGUAGAUAUAGGAAGGAACACCAGUGGCGAAGGCGACUACCUGGACUGAUACUGACACUGAGGUGCGAAAGCGUGGGGAGCA